rnacentral:lncRNA from 1 species
UUGUUAAAAAAAAAAUACAUUAAUAAAUAAAAACAAUAAAAAGGAAAAUAAAGGAAAAAAAUAAUUGAAUCUUCAUGUUAAUCUCACGAAUCCUAGAUAUUGUCAAUAGAAUCUCUGAACCUCAAUCUCACCGCACAGAAACCUCAAUCGAACCCUCAAUCUCUCAGAACUCUGAAUCGAAUCCUUUAACUCACCCACUGAAAUCUCAAUCGAUCCCUCAAUCUCUCAGAAUCCUGAAUCAAACUUCAGUCUCAAACUCUCAAGUUCAAUCACCCUCACCUCACUUAAAUCUCAAUCGAAGAGGUAAAUAUUUUUUUUUAUUUCGUUAGAUUUAUGGGUUGUGUGAACUAUCUUUGAUUUUUGUUUUUGCAAUUGAAUGUUUGUUUUGUAUAAGUUUACUUAUUUUUGUUUUUCCAUGUGAUUGAAUGCAGUAAUUUGUGCAAAUAUAUGUUCAAGACCUGUUCAAAUUUAGGCGAUUCUAGCUUUAAAGUUGAGAAUUUUUUUGGAGGCAUAACAAAUUCGUGAGUUCUUUUUCAUCAUUCUCAUUUUAUUCUAAUGUUAAUGGUUUACUUGCUAAAACCAAAAUAAUGGCUACCUUAAUUAUAUUUAGUUCAUACAAUCUAAUUCAUUUCAUCAUAUUCCAUAUGGUGAAAGAAAUUAAAGUGUUAUCUUGGAAACAAUUUUUUAGUAGAUCAAAAAACUAUCCAUGAUAAUUCUAUGAAAGUUGUUGGGAUCUUAGUAAUUGUCUAUUAAGAUUGUUUGGGAUUAAGGUUGAAGGUGCUUUAGUUCGGUGAUAACCAAUGUUUUGGAUACUUUUGAGGUCUGUUUUGGAGAAGUUAGCAGUUUUUGUUUUUCUGCUGAUACAGACUGUUUGUUUUGGUUUGUGGGGCUGGUUCUGUUUUUGGGUCAGCCUUGUCAAAAUGGGGGUGUGGCUGUUGAAUUUGUUGGUGUUCUAUAGGGUGUUGAUCUUGUUUUUUGAGGUGUUCCGUCUAUAUGUGGCACCUCUAUUUGUAUGUCUUGCAUUUUGCUAGUUUGUGUGUCUUGUACGAGCUAUGCAUUAAUAUAAACUCGUUAAUUAAAAAAGAAAAUAUUCUAUAUGGGUUUGUUUCAUUAUUAGUUAACUGAAUAGAAAUUUAGGAUCUUGAACUCAUUGAUGAUAUAUAUAUUUUUAAAUCAAAUGGAUUUACAAUAAUAUGCUUAAAGGAAUGAUUUUUAUGUGUGGAAAUCAAAUAGGUAUGUACGUUAAAAAUCAUAACCAGUAAAAGAUGUCCAUUUAGUUUCUAAACCAUUGUAUGUUCUAUUCAUGAAUAGUCAUGAUGCCUUGUUAUUAUUUAUUCAUUUCAAAUUGAAUUUGGUGGCAUUUGGUUCUCCGUUUUUGUCUACCAACUUAAAUAACCUUGACAUAGCCCUUGGUUUUCUUUGUUGCUUUGCUACUUUCUUCAUCUACUAGGUGAAUUAUUUGAGUGUAUUGAAUACUUAAUGUUGACUUGUCAUUGUACAAUUACUAUUACUGUCCCAAUUUGAAGUUAAUUUACGUAAUGCUGUUAAUGGACAGUGAGUUAAGAUUUUUUGUAUGCUUAUCUUAUUUUUAGACUAUGAACAACUAAUAAUUCUUGUAGGUGAUAAUUCUUGCCUAUGGUAAGGGUNCAAACUUCUUCCUGCAUCAAAAUAUUAGAGAGGUCUUUUUCUACAAUCUUAAUUUGAGAGAUAAUAUCUUUAGAUGGAAUCUGGUCUUUAAGCAAACCAAGAUGAGUUUGUAUGAGAUUUAUUUUGUUAGGUAGAUCACCAAAUUGUGAUUUACCCCGUCUGCUAAGCUAGUGUAAAGUAGCUUGAAUUUUGACAGUAUUAUCGCCAUUAGUCAUAUUCCAAAUAGUUUUAACAAUAUUAAAGCUCUCUUUAUCAUGAGUCCACACCUCUUCAAACCUUUGGAUUUUCUGCCUUUUAAAUCUAUGGUCCCUGCAUUCACUCUUGUCCCAAAAUUCAAGUAAAAUAGGAGAAUGAUCAGAGGAGUAUCUAAGCAAAUGAUAAUUAGUGUAUCUAGGAAAUUCAUUAAUCCAAGACUCACUAGCACAAUAUCUGUCAAGCUUUUCUUUGAUGUGAUUAGAGAAUUCUUGGUUAUUAGCCCAUGUGAACUUGUUACCAUGAUAACCAAGGUCAAACAAACCACAGUUGUUAAGAGUCUCUUGAAAAAGAGUACAAAGGUUCUGAUCAGUAUGGUUUCCCCCAUGUUUUUCAGAGCUGUUCAGGUGUAAGUUGAAAUCACCAAAUAAAAUCCAUUUUUCUGCUUGUUUACUAUUAAAGAGAUUAUUAAUAGUGUCACAAGUUAACUGUUUUUGAGAUUGGUAGGGGAAACCAUACAUACUAGUAGCAUUCCAAAUCUCAUUAUUUAUAGGGUCCAAAACAUAAAAAUCAAUCAACAUUUUAUUAUAAGCUAUAAUGUGAAGAUUUACAUCAUUAUGCCAAAUAAGAGCAAGACCACCUGACCUACCUCCACCUCCAGUCUCACAAUCCACAAUAAAGUGGUUCUGAAGGUGAUUAUGACACAGCUUACUUGAGACUUUAGAAUCUGACUGCUUGAGUUUUAUUUCCAUUAGGAAAAUGAUAUCUGGACUCUUAGACCUAUGGAGCCUUUUAUAUGCUUGAACUGCAGCUGGGUUACCUAACCCUCUGCAGUUCCAAGAUAGGAUCCUCAUAUUCCUUGGCUGGCCUUGUUGUCAAGGCCUGCCAUUAUAACAUAUCUAUCCUUAAUCUCCUCAAAAUUUAAACUGGUACCACUAGCUGCUGCAUUUUUCCUUUUGAGCUUAAUUGUUUGUAGUAUGAUGUCUGGAUUUUUCCAACUACUGUGUUGUUCAUUCCUUGCUUGUCCUGUGUGUUCAGAAGUGGUUUCCUGCAGAUUAUCCUCUUGUACAGUCAGAUCCUCCAUCAUGUCAGAUAAGCCUUUAGGAAUGGGGCUAAACUGACCCCCACUUUAGAGAAUUCCUAACAUUGCUUCUGAAAGUUUUCUCCUUUCUUUCAACAAGUCUUCUGCCAUAGUUGUUUGAGCGUAACCAAGCACCCCUUGGAUUGGUUCCUUCCUUUUCAUUAUCAGGAUUUUCUUCCCUUUUCUGUGAACAAAUUUCCUUCGUGUGGCCAACUAACCCACAGUAAAAGCAAAACAUAGGGAGAUUUUCAUAGCGAAAAUAAACCCAGUUGAUACCAUCUACUUUGUUACCAAUGUACAAACCAGCCCUUAUGGGAUUGUUGAUAUUGAAUUGCACUUUAAUCUUCACAAAAUUUGCCUUGUCUGACAUCUCAUAUACUGCAGAGUCAAUAACUUCUCCUAUUUGUUCACCUAUGGCUGUCCCCAUCUCAGCAGACCUACAAUGCAUAGGCAGUCCCCAAAAUUGAAUGCAGAUGGGGACAUUAGAAAAAUCUAAUUCCUUAGGCAGCUUCUUCCUGUCCCAUGAAUGCAACACAAGCCAAAUAUUUCUCACAAUCCAUGGGCUGCCCUUCAAAAUUCUCUGAGUAUCUUCUGCUUUUUCCAUUAAAAAUUUGUAAGUUUUCCCUUCCAAUUCUACAAUCUUGAAUCCCACUGGUUUUCCCGAAAUCCCAUUCAGAGUGUUUUGAAUUUGUUGAAGAGGAACUAUCUUAUUAGACAAAAACAUACCAAUUACGCUGUUUUGGCAAUUUUUAAUGCUUUCUUUGACAUAGCUUUCCUGGUAAUAGAAGAAAGGCUCCUCUUGAGAGUUUCUUUGAGGAGUCUGUUGGUGCUCAGUAGUGUUGGAGAAAGCCUGAUUGUGUGUUUGUUGUUUUCUAACAGGAUUGGAUUGCUUUGAGUGGCCACCACUGCUAGAGCUUACACCUCGCUGGUUGAUAUUUUCCUGAUACUGCAGCAUAGGUACCAUAAGAGGAGUUUGAAGUUUCUGAAUCUUGAAUGGUCUCAUAAUAUCAUUGCCAGUGGGUUGUGUUGAAGGACUUUGUGAAUCUUGGAUAAUUUCUUUGCCGUUACGGGUACUCAUGGUUCAAGAAUAAGCAGAUUGUGACAAGGCGAGAAUAAUGGAGAGAAAGGUUAAAAUUCUCAAAGAUAGAACAAGUUGGGGCAAAAGGUAGAUGAUAACAGAAUUGAAAAACAAACAAAGACAGAGGAGAACCGAGCAAUUAGCUCCACCAAGAACAAUUAAAGUAAAAACUGGAAAUCACCAACAAUCAUCCAAAGAUGCAACCUAAAAUACAACUACCCAGAAACACAAGGAUUCAGGGAGGAAAAAAAGGGAUCAAAUAACGAGGAAAGGAUAGGAUGAGGAACAAGGGGUCACAGAAUCUAGCAAGGAGUAAUUGAAAUUCAAGAAAACGAAGAGAAGAAGAGGAAGACUAGGUUAAGAACAGAGUGGAGAGACUCAUGGUUCCAAUCCUAAAGAAGAAGGAGAAGAAAGCGAUGAAGGUGGAUCUUGAUUUGAGAUACCAGAAUCUUGGAGCCUUUGUAUGGCUGGUAGCUAUUGUAAAACAAUAUUGAAAUAACUUUAGCUAACACAAUUCUUAUUCUUAUCUUUGAUUGUCUAUAUUGUUAACAGUUUCAACAAAGAUUGAAAUAAUUGAUUUUAUUAAUGAUUAAAAAAUAAUAUUAAAUGAAAUAUAUUAUAAUAAUUUAAUAAAUGACUAUGGAAGCUUGUUUUACAUGAAAAUUAAUAUGGACUGUUAAAAGUCCCAAAAACAAAGUUAUUACAAAAAUAUAAUAAUUGUACUAAAAUAUAACUAUUGACUAUGAAUUCAAAAUAACUCUUUUUAGAAUUUGCUUCAGAUAUCAAUAUGCAUUGGGUUUAGCCUAAUUCCAACUCAUUAUAGAAGAAGAACAAAACAUAUUUACAAACUUUGAAAACAUGAUAGAGGAUUACAUUACAAAUAUGUAAAACCAUAUCUCAUUGAACCGUCACUUUAGCCUAAUAUCCAAAGUCAUGAUUCUUCCUGCCACUUUCUUAAAGUCUGCAAUUUUACGAAAAAUAAAAUGCUAGUUAUACCAUUUUUUUUUUAAAUUUUUAUCUUUUCUUUCUUUAUGAAUUCCCCAUGCCAUACAGAAUGCGACCUCUUACAACAUUAUCGAUAAUUUCUUCUCUUAACCAACUAUUUAUAAAAUCCAAAAGACUUUGAAACUUUGGAUUGGUAAAAAACAAAAAAUCUGAGGAAAACAAGUUUUCAAAACAAUAGAUAGAAGAGAAGCAUUAGGGUUGGUGAUGAUAACUCUUGAUUUGUAAAAUUUCUCUUGUGGGGAACCAAUCUUGAAACAAUCUCUAUCUUAAAUACUAACUUUUUACGGGACAUCAUUUUUCUAAACAAGAUUCAGAGCUUGUUUACGGAUUUGGUCCAAUGAGUAACAAGAUAUUGUGAAAAAAGAAGAAUAAAAGGCGAUGGGUGGUGCAUGGUGAUGGCUACAAAAAUUAACUUAACUCUUCUUGAUCAUAAGAAGAAUUCAAUUACUUAAUACCAUGUACAUGCACUUCAAAGCUUCCAUCACUCAACUUGAAUCUAAGCACUUCCCUUCUUCUUUACCCCCGCAUCAUGGAAACAAAAAGGAACAAACAACAAUGUUUAGCCCAAUGAUACCAAAAUUUCUUAAUAUCAUUUGUCUCAAGUUUUAUUAAUCUGUACAACUAACCAUUUUCUUUGGAGUAAAAUUUUACAAAUGCCUUCUUUACUUCAAGGCGAUCACAAGCUUAUUUUAAUCUCAAUAUUUAGUUUAUAGAUAUUUAUAAAUUACAAUAAUUACAAUAAUUGUUUUCCCUUUGUGCUUAUCAAAAUUUACACACACACACAAAUUUUGGAAGGUAAAAAAACCGUCCUGGUAGAGUCCCAUGGACAACGAUUUUCUGAUUUUGUUGUAGUAGGGUAUGAUAUUUUUUAAAUUUUUUUGUAACGACUCAAAAGCGUUGUGAUAUAAGAAACAAGAACGGAUUUUUAUUUGUUAUUUUCGUCAACAUGUAUUAAUUGUUCUGGUAUAAUUUUUAAUUUAUUUUUAAUAAAAGUACGAAUAGUACCUUCUUUAAAUACCGUUCUUAAAAACUGUAACAAAAAAAAUCUUAAUAUAAAACAGAAAACACACCUUUUUGAAAAACAAAUAACUAGCACUAUUAAUAUAUAUAAAAAAAAAAAAAACAUUUUGUACCAACAAAAAACAAAAAAGAUACGGUUCUAAAAAAACAAAUAACUUUGUUAAAAAAAAAAAACAAAUAACUAGCACUAUUUUUGGUGAAAGAUAAAUUUCCUCAAUAAAACAUACAAUUUCCUCUUAAGAAAACUAUUGUUAAAAAAAAAAUACAUUAAUAAAUAAAAACAAUAAAAAGGAAAAUAAAGGAAAAAAAUAAUUGAAUCUUCAUGUUAAUCUCACGAAUCCUAGAUAUUGUCAAUAGAAUCUCUGAACCUCAAUCUCACCGCACAGAAACCUCAAUCGAACCCUCAAUCUCUCAGAACUCUGAAUCGAAUCCUUUAACUCACCCACUGAAAUCUCAAUCGAUCCCUCAAUCUCUCAGAAUCCUGAAUCAAACUUCAGUCUCAAACUCUCAAGUUCAAUCACCCUCACCUCACUUAAAUCUCAAUCGAAGAG